ensembl:lncRNA
GUUAGUGAUUCAUUUUAUCUCUAUUUCUGCUUUUUGUGACUCCUCUCUUUGGCUGUAAACAUGGCUGUGUGUUUCUGUGACUAGGUGCAGACCUAACAUAAUCGUUUGGUGUGCUUUCGUCUGUGGUGGUCUGUGGUGGUCUGUGGUGGGAUUAAAACCAAGUUUAUCUUAAAAAUUGUGUAAAAUACUUCUAUGUUUGAGGAAUUUUGAUUAUGAGAUUUCUGUUGUUUUGAAUUUGGCACCCUGCGCUUUCACUGGCUGUCAUAUCGAUCCCGUUAGCGGGAUCUAAACCACAAGAAGUUUUUAAUAGACGACCAUUAUUAACUAGUCAAUCACUGCCCUGCUGUGUGUUUGAUCAUUGAGAGAGGAGGAAAGGCAUGCUCAAACAUACUGAACUUGUAUGACAAGGCCGGCUCCAAGCAUAAGCAACAUAAGUGGUCACUUACGGGCCCCAGCGAUUAGGGGGCCUGUCAUCCCAAAUAAUGUCCCCUGACCUAAAAGUGUCCACCUCUGCAUUACAAUGGGAUUCAAUUAACUAUUAGCGUCUGUUGCUAUAUCAAUGGUGUGAUGACCUAAUGAUUAGAAAUUUGGAGAUCAUUACAGCCUAAUUUAUGUUAUUUUCAUCAUCGCUAUGCAAACAAGCCUGAUUUCAGUGACAAUUUCGCUGUUAUGUUUAGUUAAUCAAAUGAAAACAUUACUUCAAACUACUUUUGGGUAACUUGUUAACAUUACAACAUGAAAUCCAUGUCUUAAACGUUACUAUUUUUCAGAAAUGGCAAAGAAAACGUGUAAUCUGCUUGACACAUUAAAGUUACUAAUUUCCAUACCAUUCAUAUGUAAAUUCAUUUUAUUCAUAUACUGGCUUGUCUGGCUGUCAAGGAGGCCUACAAAUCUGACUCAGUUACACCAUCUCUGUCAGGAGGAAUGGACCAAAAUUACCGUGUGAAGCUUGUGCAUGGUUUGACCCAAGUUAAACAAUUUAAAGGCAACGCUUCCAAGUAUUAAUUGAGUGUAUGUUAACUUCUGACCCACUGGGACUGUGAUGAAAGAAAUAUAAACUGAAAUAAAUCAUUCUCUCUACUAUUAUUCUGACAUUUCCCGUUCUUAAAUUAAAGUGGUGAUCCUAACUGACCUAAAACAGGGAAUUUGUACUUGGAUUAAAUAUCAGGAAUUGUGAAAAAGUUUAAAUGUAUUUGGCUAAGGUGUUUGUAAUCUUCCGACUUCAACUGUAGGUAUUUGUAGGAUGACACUUUUUCAAUGGAUAAGCCACCAGAUGUGACAAUGCUAACCUUCUCUGGCUGAGUGCAUGCUCUGGUAAAGGUCAUGAUUUAUGUACAUUCAAGACCAGUUUGAGGCCAUAAAGGGAGGCCUGCAGUGACUGAAAAGCAGUCUGGAGCUCUUCAACCGCCUGAACCAGAGAAGGAGCACAUUAGUAUAUGACUGUAGCAUCUGCAUAUAGAUGCAAUUUUGCUGGCUGCAUCCCAUUUCCCAGAUAUUUAAUACAAAUGGAGAACAACACAGGAGCUAAAAUAGAACCUUGGGGCACACCUCUAUUAAUCUCAAGAGAGCUAGACUUGUGAUUGUCAAUAUAUACACAUUGUAUUCUUUCAGGAAGAUAGUCCCUAAACCAAUUUACUGCCCCUUCACUGAGACUAAUGCUACUGAGUCUAGCUAGCAACAAUUCAUGGUCAACUGAAUCAAAAGCCUUUGAUAAAUCAACAAACAGAGCAGCAAAAUGUUGCUUUUUAUCAAGUGCAUUUAUGAUGUAAUUUGCCACUGCCAUAGUUGCAGUUGUGGUGCUGUGCUCCGAUCUAAAGCCAGACUGAACCUAGCUCAGUAUGUUCUUUUCAAUUAAGAAGUUUUUUUACCUGUGAGUUCACUAGGGAUUCAUAGACUUUGGCCAGGAUAGUGAGUUUGGAGAUAGGACGAUAGCUAUUAGCAUCUGAGGGAUCUCCACCCUUUAGCAUUGGGAGAACAUAAGGAAGUGGAUGGCUGCAAACUUUCUACUUUUAAACUCGGACAAAACAGAGAUGCUUGUUCUAGGCCCCAAGAAACAAGGAGAUCUCCUGUUGAAUCUAACAAUUAAUCUUGAUGGUUGUACAGUCUUCACAAAUAAAACUGUGAUGGACCUCGGCGUUACUCUGGACCCUGAACAUUCUUUUGACGAACAUAUCAAGACUGUUUCAAAGACAGCUUUUUUCCAUCUACGUAACAUUGCAAAACAGAAAUUUUCUGUUAAAAAAUUAUGCAGAAAAAUGUAUCCAUGCUUUUGAUUCUUCUAGGUUAGACUACUGCAAUGCUCUACUUUCCAGCUACCCGGAUAAAGCAUUAAAUAAACUUCAGUUAGUGCUAAAUACGGCUGCUAGAAACCUGACUAGAACCCCCCCAAAAAUAUCAUAUUACUCCAGUGCUAGCCUCCCUACACUGGCUUCCUGUUAAGGCAAGGGCUGAUUUCAAGGUUUUACUGCUAACCUACAAAGCAUUACAUGGGAUUGCUCCAACCUAUCUUUCCGAUUUGGUCUUGCCGUACAUACCUACACGUACACUACGGUCACAAGACGCAGGCCUCCUAAUUGUCCCUAGAAUUUCUAAGCAAACAGCUGGAGGCAGGGCUUUCUCCUAUAGAGGUCCAUUUUUAUGGAAUGGUCUGCCUACCCAUGUGAGAGACGCAGACUCUGUCUCAACAUUUAAGUCUUUACUGAAGACUCAUCUCUUCAGUAGGUCCUAUGAUUGAGUGUAGUCUGGCCCAGGAGUGUGAAGGUGAACGGAAAGGCCCUGGAGCAACGAACCGCCCUUGCUGUCUCUGCCUGGCCGGUUCCCCUCUCUCUACUGGGAUUCUCUGCCUCUAACCCUAUUACAGGGCUGAGUCACUGGCUUACUGGUGCUCUUCCAUGCCGUCCCUAUGAGGGGUGCAUCACUUGAGUGGUCUUCCUGUCUGGGUUGGCGCCCCCCCUUGGGUUGUGCCGUGGCGGAGAUCUUUGUGGUCUAUACUCGGCCUUGUCUCAGGAUGGACCUGAGCCCUAGGACCAUGCAUUAGGACUACCUGACAUGAUGACUUCUUGCUGUCCCCAGUCCACCUGGCCGUGAUGCUGCUCCAGUUUCAACUGUUCUGCCUGCGGCUAUGGAACCCUGACCUGUUCACCGGACGUGCUACCUGUCCCAGACCUGCUGUUUUCAACUCUCUAGAGACAUCAGGAGCGGUAGAGAAACUCUCAAUGAUCGGCCAUGAAAAGCCAACUGACAUUUACUCCUGAGGUGCUGUCCUGUUGCACCCUCGACAAUUACUGUUAUUAUAAUUAUUUGACCCUGCUGAUCAUUUAUGAACAUUUGAAGAUCUUGGCCAUGUUCUGUUAUAAUCUCCACUCGUCACAGCCAGAAGAGGACUGGCCACCCCUCAUAGCCUGGUUCCUCUCUAGGUUUCUUCCUAGGUUUUAGCCUUUCUAGGGAGUUUUUCCUAGCCACCGUGCUUCUACACCUGCAUUGCUUGCUGUUUGGGGUUUUAGGCUGGGUUUCUGUACAGCACUUUGAGAUAUCAGCUGAUCUAAGAAGGGCUAUAUAAAGGGCUAUAUAAAUACAUUUGAUUUGAUUUGAACAUCAGCUGAUUUGCUGCUAAUUUGCUGCUGAUUUGCUGCUGUUGUGUGCAAAGAGAAUUACCUUUCAAUUUGUUCUCCCACCAUUCCUGGUACCAGUCAAGGGAUUUGCCCUUGGCAGUCUUGUUGGUCCAUCCACCAAACCUGGAGGAGGGGCGUUCAUGACUUCGGUCACUCAAGAUGACCUCAGGAGAACCGUGGGUGUUGAAGAUGUUCACCAUCGCCUUGGAAGACACCAGCUGUGUCUGACACGGCCUCCUUCUCCUGCCAUUCCUGG